rnacentral:tRNA from 2 species
GAUAGUGUGGCCGAGUGGUCUAUGGCGCUGGUUUUAGGCACCAGUCUUUUCGGAGGCAAGGGUUCGAAUCCCUUCACUGUCA